GACGAGUCCCAAAUAGGACGAAACGUGCGUC
rfam:Schistosoma mattheei strain Denwood, Zambia genome assembly, scaffold: SMTD_scaffold0000206